rnacentral:rRNA from 1 species
GAUGAACGCUGGCGGCGUGCCUAAUACAUGCAAGUCGAGCGAACAGACCAGGACCUUGCUCCUCUGACGUUAGCAGCCGACGGGUGAGUAACACGUCGAUAACCUACCUAUAAGACUGGGAGAACAUCGGGAAACCGGAGCUAAUACCGGAUAACAUAUUGAACCGCAUGGUUCAACCGUGAAAGACGGUCUUGCUGUCACUUAUAGAUUGAUCCGCGCCGCAUUGGAUAGUGGGUAAGGUAGCGGGUUACCCAGGCUAGGAUGCGAAGCCGACCUGAGCGGGUGAACGGCUAGACGGGAACUGAGACAGGGCACAGACUCCUACGGUAGGACGCAGUCGGGAAUCUUCCGCAAGGGGCGAAAGCCUGACGUAACAAAGCGGCGGGAGUGAUGAAGGUCUUCGGAUGGGAAAACUCUGUUAUUAGGGAAGAACAAAUGUGUAAGUAACUGUGCAGGUAUUGACGGUACCUACUGAGAAAGCCACGGCUAACUACGUG